AUCACUUGAAGUCAGGAGUUCAAGACCAGCCUGGCCAACAUGGUGAAACCCCAUCUCUAUUAAAAAUACAAAAAUUAGCCAGACAUGGUGGCAGGUGCCUGUAAUCCCAGCUACUCAGGAGACUGAGGCAGGAGAAUCCUUGAACCCAGUAGGCAGAGGUUGCAGUGAGUCGAGAUCCCACCACUGCACUCCAGCCUGGGAGACAGGGCAAGACGCCGUCUCAAAAAAAAAAAAAAAAAAGAAAGAAAGAAAGUGCUUCUGCACUCCAGCCUGGACAAUAGAGCAAGACUAUCUAAAAAAAAAAAAAUUAAAAAUCAAUAUCAAAAUAAAUGAGUAUUCUCAUAAGCAAGACAAGCCUAAAGAAAUGUGAGUACUAACUGUAAUGUGGUUACAUUUAGAGACACAUGAAAAAAAAUAAAUAAAAGAAUAAAAAAUAAUAAAAUAAAUGCAAUGUGGUAUCCUAGGUGGAAUUCUGGAACAGAACAUGUAUUUUGGUAAAAACUGAGGAAAUCUCAAUCAAAGAUGUACUUUAGUUUAAUAAUGUAUCAAAACUGUUUCACUAAUUGUAAAUAAUGCUGUAUACUAAUAUAUGACUAUAUAUUAGUAACAACUAGGUGUGCUUGUAAAUGAGAUAUCUCUGUACUAUAUUUGCAAUUUCUCUGUACAUCUUAAAAUGUUCUAAAAUUAAAACUCUAUUAAAAUAGAAAAAUAAGAUUUUUUUUUAAAAAAAGGGAAAAGAUUUAGAAAUUUGGCCAAAUAUACAGAUAACAAAUAAGCAUAUAAAAACUUAUUCAGCAUCAUUAAUUAUUAGAGAAAUGCAAAUUUAAAAACCACACUGACCACAACACAUCUAUGAAAAUGGUUAAUCUUUAAAAUACACCAUAACCAUCAUGGACAAGGAGGUAUAACAAAUGCAAUUCUGCUAAAUAUAUUCAUAUAAACACUUGUAUAUGAAUGUUCAUGGGUCUUUGUUAGUUUUUUAGUCCAACACUAGAAACAAUCAAAAUAUUUAUUAAUAGAUUAAUAAAUUGUGGUAUAUUCAAUGCAAUACUCUUCAUCAACAAAAAAUGAAUACGCUUAACAUGUAUAAAUAUCAAAAAAUGCUCCAUAUGAAUGUAAUGUAGGAUUUCAUUUGUAUAAGAUACUAGAAAAUUUAUAGGCCGGGCAUGGUGGCUCACGCCUGUAAUCCCAACACUUUGGGAGGCCAAGGCAGGUGGAUCACUUGAGGUCAGGCGUUCGAGACCAGCCUGGCCAACAUGGAGAAACCCCCGUCUCUACUAAAAAUACAAAAUUAGCCAGGCGUGGUGGCGCAUGCCUGUAAUCCUAGCUACUCAGGAGGCUGAGGCAGGAGAAUCGCUUGAACCCAGAAGGUGGAGGUUGCGGUGAGCUGAGAUCGUGCCAUUGCACUCCAGCCUGGGCAACAAGAGUGAAAUUCUGAGAAAGAGAAAGAAGAGAAGAGAGGAGAGG
rnacentral:lncRNA from 10 species